CGCCAAGCACAUCUUCUGCCGCUAUUGGAGUUAGCAGCAUCCCUGGAGAAGAGAGUCCCACUCCCAGCCCUGCCAGUGUCGUUGACGCUACAGAUGACAGCAGCCGUUCUUCUUCGGUGACUCCCUUCACCCUGGCCAAGAAGGCUCAACUGACAAAAGAAAAAGUGGAGGAAAUUCACAGGGCAGUAACAAAAUUUGUGGUGCAAGGCCUUCAUCCAUUUUCAACUGUGGAGUCACCAUCAUUCAGGGAGAUGACCACUGCCCUUAAUCCUAGGUACCAACCCCCAUCCAGGGAUGACAUAUCCAAUACAUUUAUACCUGCAUGGUAUUCUGUAGAGAAAAGCAAUGUCAUCCAGAAGUUGGCACAGGUUAACAAGGUAGCUAUCACCUGUGAUGGAUGGACCAGUGUUGCACAGGACCACUUCCUCACAGUCACUGUCCACUAUAUCUCCAAAGGCAAAAUGGAGCAGAAUGUGCUGAGCACUGAAGCGGUUUAUGAGUCACAAACAGGACCAGUUGUGGCCAAAGAAAUAGCCAGUGUUGUGGAGCAAUUUCACUUAGAGGAGAAAAUAAUUGCUGCCACUGUAGACAAUGCCAGCAACAUGGAUGUUGCUUUGAGAAGUUUGGAUUUCUUAAAAGUGGGAUGCUUUGCUCACACCCUUAACCUGGCAGCACAAA